rnacentral:lncRNA from 1 species
GGUUACGGCCCAAAUGUCACCCUAUAUAGUACACUACUUUUAGUGUCACCCUAUAUAUAGUACACUACUUUUAAUGUCACCCUAUAUAUAGUACACUACUUUUAGUGUCACCCUAUAUAGUACACUACUUUUAGUGUCACCCUAUAUAGUACACUACUUUUAGUGCGCUGGUAUAUGGACUAGGGUGCCAUUUUGGGAUCCAUCACAGACAGUGGAUCUGUAUGAGAAACUAGCCUGUUCUCCACAGUCUGCAGGUUUUAGGUGUGUGUGUGUGUGUGCAGUUUUCUAAACUACCAGGUUAGGUAUCUGUUGAAUCAGACUCUAUAUUUAAACUAAUUUACAAAACUAGAUUUUUGGUAAAGGUGAAAGGGGUUGUUGGUAACUGAAGGACCCUGUAGUCAGGCUUCAGGAACCUCCUUCUAUAAUAGCUCACACACAACAAUAUAUACCUGCUGUUUUUAAUUAUGUAUAAGAGUUUGAUGAGUACCUUUUUAUCACAUGGAUCACUUAGUUGUGGCUACACAGCAUCCUGCAGGCCACCAAACAUCCCUCAACCACAGCAUCCUGCAGGCCACCAAACAUCCCUCAACCACAGCCUCCUGCAGGCCACCAAACAUCCCUCAAGCACAGCCUCAUGCAGGCCACCCACAGCCUCCUGCAGGCCACCAAACAUCCCUCAACCACAGCCUCCUGCAGACCACCCACAGCCUCCUGCAGGCCAACCACAGCCUCCUGCAGGCCACCAAACAUCCCUCAACCACAGCCUCCUGCAGGCCAACCACAGCUUCCUGCAGGCCAACCACAGCCUCCUGCAGGCCAACCACAGCCUCCUGCAGGCCACCAAACAUCCCUCAAGCACAGCUCCACUUGUCACCCUGUAGUCAAACCAUUGUUAUGCUGACAGUCUGUUUCAUAAUCAGCACUUAG